rnacentral:rRNA from 1 species
UACGGAGGGUGCAAGCGUUACCCGGAAUCACUGGGCGUAAAGGGCGUGUAGGCGGACUGUUAAGUCUGGCUUAAAGACCGAGGCUCAACCUCGGGAAUGGGCUGGAUACUGGGAGUCUAGACCUCUGGAGAGGUACUCGGAAUUCCUGGUGUAGCGGUGAAAUGCGCAGAUACUCAGGAAGAACACCCGUAGGCGGAAGGCGGCUCUCGUGGACGGUAC